GAUGAAGAACGCAGCGAAAUGCGAUACGUAAUGUGAAUUGCAGAAUUCAGUGAAUCAUCGAAUCUUUGAACGCACAUUGCGCCCGCCAGUAUUCUGGCGGGCAUGCCUGUUCGAGCGUCAUUUCAACCAUCAAGCCCCAGGCUUGUGUUGGGGACCUGCGGCUGCCGCAGGCCCUGAAAACCAGUGGCGGGCUCGCUAGUCACACCGAGCGUAGUAGCAUACACAUCGCUCAGGGCGUGCUGCGGGUUCCGGCCGUUAAACCCCUUUUUUACCCAAGGUUGACCUCGGAUCAGGUAGGAAGACCCGCUGAACUUAAGCAUAUCAAUAAGCGGAGGA
rnacentral:misc_RNA from 1 species